AUGAUUUUCAAUUACGAAGAUUCAAAUUUAAAUUUAUUCUAUUGAAGUCUCAAAAAUAAGACAGGAUUUCUCUACUAAAUAUUUUCCACUCAGUUUUCAAAGACUACAUUUUAAAUAUCAAGCCACAUUCCCUUGAAGAUUAUCACUGCAUAGGUCAUAACCAGUACAACGUUUUGACGUAAAUCAAGUCCAUAAUAGGAAAUUGAAUAGAACUUAUUUUGAGCUUCCCACUAAUGAAGGAAGGAAAAUAAAAUCAUCUGGGAAGGAGCUGCCAAACAUUGGACAGCCUGCUAACAUAAGAAAAAAUGGGAUGUUUCUUUUCACCAUCUCUAAAUUAUUUGGAUGGCAGGUGUGCCUGUUUUAUGUUGUUGCUUAUGCUUUCAAUUGACGAGUAAACUUUGCCUGUAGCCUGUUAAUCAUCUGAGCCUUUUGGAAAACUUAAUUGAGAGGUCAUUUGCUUUGCUUCCUUCUUCCUCCACAUCUCCACAGCAUAUCAGCAAUCAUGGUGACGCGCCACUCUGCUGGUAAUUCAUAUGGCUUAUUCAGAAGCACAGACCAUGGUUGUUAGACCUGCCAGAUGUUCCCGGUCCUUAGCUGCAAUUAAGUUCCAACACAGCCCAAUUUGAAAGAGAUUGAGAAACCACAGUUUUCAUUAAGAAUAUUCAUGAGUUUGCACCUUGAAAAGCCAGCAGUUACAUGAUGUGCCAGAAUGGACAAGAUCCUUUGAGAAGAGAGAGAGAGGAAAAGAUGCAAUUUAAAAUAAGUUACCAGGUUUUGAAAGUUUCCACAUGGACCAUUUUUAAGCUGCAUCUCAUGGGAUUUUAGACCCUGAAGUGUCAUAUCUAAUUGUUAUCUUUUCAUGUUCAUGUCUUCAGUAAUCAUCUAGAAGUGAUAUUAUGGACUGGCACUCAGAGGCGGUGUGAACUGUGAAAAUCUACAUUCUAAAAUCUUCUCAAAUCUUUUUUGCUAUCCUUCCCAUUUGUAUCACAUCAUCUGGGGUAUAGAAAGUGUGAAACUUUUUAGUUUUAUAUACCUUGAAGAAUUGAAACCAACCGGAGAGUGACUAUAAUAAGGAACAUUAUGGAGUUGUAUGUUAUUAUGUUUACAUGUCUAUUUGUAAAGUUCUGCCCAGUUCAGAACUGAGAAGUAGAAACUUCUUUUAUUUAAUCUAGAAAAGGAGUGACAGUAAAUUUGUCAGUGUAUCGCUAUUUGUUUUCUGAACUUGGAUAAGUACAGAAGAAAUCAAAGCAAUGUCAAUUUUAAAAAAUAAGAGAAC
rnacentral:lncRNA from 1 species